rnacentral:pre_miRNA from 1 species
AGGGUUCCUGGCGUGCUGAUUUGUGACCUAUGAUAAAAUCACAUUGCCAGGGAUUACCA